AAUUUGAGAGAUGAGAUUUAAAGCUCUGAAAGUCCAAGAAAGCUGUGGGAAAAUAUGGCAAUCUUAGGACUUUUUUUUACCAUUUGGAGUUCAAGAGAUCUGCAUUUUUAAGGUAAAUUCUUGAAAAAUGUCUUAGAGGAGUAGUAGUUUUCAUUUUUUUUCCUCUUUAAAUUGCUCAUGAGUUACAUAACUCCAUAAUUUGGCAUACUUUAUGUGAAUUCUCUGAGUAUUUAUAAAACUUAUCUAUAGAAAAUUCAAAUUUAGAGAAGAAUUAUGGUUUUUAAUUAUAUUUUUAUGAUUAAGUAUGAAAAACUAGAUCCACAUUUUGGAAAGGAGAAAAUUCUGGAUUUUCUCAUUUUCUACAUUCAUAUAUCUUUAAUGGGAUUUGAUUUUUUAUUUUUUAUUUUUUUUGAUUUGCUUGACUUUUAUGAUUGAUCAAUUUGUGGGUAGUUCAAUCAAGUGGUGAAAACUAAGAGAAAAUGGCAGCGAAGAUUCCCUGGCUUUCAUCAAUUAUUGAUGCAUAGUUCAUUUUGUUUGCCUCUUUGUUUUUGCUCUCUGUGAUCUCAUACAUUUCCGUGAAAAAAGUUAAUUUUUUUUGUUACUAUGUGAGAAAAAAUAAAAUCAUUUUCCUUUAACCCCCCAACACCUUUCCUUCUCUCUCACCAUUUGGAGUAAAAAUACCUAAAAAGACAAAAAUAUUAAUUCCCACCUUACAAAUAAAAUUACCCGUAAUCAUGGAUUUUUCUUAGUACAUUUUUAAGUAUACCCUGACAAUGCAAAUUAACCAUUAAUAAACGCCUAAGAAAUCCCUUAUCAUCCAUCCCAAAUUAAUUAAAGGCUAUGUAUAUAUUAAACUAAAUUCUGGGGUUAAUUAAAUUACUGUCUAGUCAUUUACCAUUAAUGAUAAACUGAAGUAUUAUUAAGAUUUUGUAAAUUGUGAUAAGCCAAUUGCUUAAAGGCAUAGGUAAUCUCAAAAAAUGUCAUAUUGUUGCCUCUUAGCUUCUUUUCUCUGAUUUCAUCCAAUCAAGUCUAACUAUGAGCCUAAUAUACUUUUAAAAAAUCAUAGAAUUUGCAUUAGUAUAUCAUCAUUGCGUUAAAUAUUUAAGCGUUAUGAUUACAAACUUUGUUUACCAUUUGAUGUUUCCACUCAAACUUGAUUAGAAUUCCACAAUGCUAAAUGCUAAUUUGGAAUCCAACAUCUGCUAAUUACAUCUUAAUUAAAGUAUUAUUUCAAUCUUAUAUAAUAAAAAUAAUCUUAAAGUAAUUUAUUUUAUUUGUAGGGCAGGAUGUAAGGAGGGGUAAAAGGGGUUGCUUUCAACAUAUAACUGAUAGUUAAGCAAUUCAUAAUAAUUUUGAGGAUAAGUAAUUUAACUUACUAUACCUGUUAACAUGCAUUUCCCAUGGGAAUGAAUAAAUCUUUGAAUUGAUAGGUAACUAGUAGGGUAUACUCUAUGUUUUGGUUUAAAUAGGCCAGACAAUAAGGGAUGACUGCUCUCUGAACUUUAAAAAGUAUAUAUAGUACUCCUAUUAUUUACACAUAAUCUAAUCUUUUUUGUUUUAACCUCUCAAACUAACAUAAAUAUCCAAAGAAGGUAUCAACAAAAAUUAGAUUUAUCAUGAGACAACUCAUGUUGUUCAUAUCGAUCUAUUAUGCAUCUCUACAUCCUGUAUUAAAUAAAUGAUCUUGAGUCAUCAUAAUGUUCCUAUAUAUGUAAGGUAUUUUUUCCUCAAUUGUUUUAAAUUAGAAAAUGUUCAACCAUCUUUGCUCGUGCUAGUGCUCCCAGAAAUUAUUGGGUGUUCAAGAAUUUGUUUAGACAGUUCAUAUCAUUCAUACAUAGUAUUUUGAUAUAAGGUUUUAGUUCUUUUGUGUUUCAGCAGUAACAUAUUCUUCCAUGGAGCUGAGGUCCAAAAUACGGAAGAAACAAUCAUUUUCAUGACUUUACCACCGAGUCAUUUUCUAAUUAUGUUCUAUAUAGAGGACAUAUAGUACACACAUCAUUUAGCUUCUCUUCGAACCAUA
rnacentral:lncRNA from 1 species